GAUGAACGCUGGCGGCGUGCCUAAUACAUGCAAGUCGAGCGAACGGACGAGAAGCUUGCUUCUCUGAUGUUAGCGGCGGACGGGUGAGUAACACGUGGAUAACCUACCUAUAAGACUGGGAUAACUUCGGGAAACCGGAGCUAAUACCGGAUAAUAUUUUGAACCGCAUGGUUCAAAAGUGAAAGACGGUCUUGCUGUCACUUAUAGAUGGAUCCGCGCUGCAUUAGCUAGUUGGUAAGGUAACGGCUUACCAAGGCAACGAUGCAUAGCCGACCUGAGAGGGUGAUCGGCCACACUGGAACUGAGACACGGUCCAGACUCCUACGGGAGGCAGCAGUAGGGAAUCUUCCGCAAUGGGCGAAAGCCUGACGGAGCAACGCCGCGUGAGUGAUGAAGGUCUUCGGAUCGUAAAACUCUGUUAUUAGGGAAGAACAUAUGUGUAAGUAACUGUGCACAUCUUGACGGUACCUAAUCAGAAAGCCACGGCUAACUACGUGCCAGCAGCCGCGGUAAUACGUAGGUGGCAAGCGUUAUCCGGAAUUAUUGGGCGUAAAGCGCGCGUAGGCGGUUUUUUAAGUCUGAUGUGAAAGCCCACGGCUCAACCGUGGAGGGUCAUUGGAAACUGGAAAACUUGAGUGCAGAAGAGGAAAGUGGAAUUCCAUGUGUAGCGGUGAAAUGCGCAGAGAUAUGGAGGAACACCAGUGGCGAAGGCGACUUUCUGGUCUGUAACUGACGCUGAUGUGCGAAAGCGUGGGGAUCAAACAGGAUUAGAUACCCCGGUAGUCCACGCCGUAAACGAUGAGUGCUAAGUGUUAGGGGGUUUCCGCCCCUUAGUGCUGCAGCUAACGCAUUAAGCACUCCGCCUGGGGAGUACGACCGCAAGGUUGAAGCUCAAAGGAAUUGACGGGGACCCGCACAAGCGGUGGAGCAUGUGGUUUAAUUCGAAGCAACGCGAAGAACCUUACCAAAUCUUGACAUCCUUUGACAACUCUAGAGAUAGAGCUUUCCCCUUCGGGGGACAAAGUGACAGGUGGUGCAUGGUUGUCGUCAGCUCGUGUCGUGAGAUGUUGGGUUAAGUCCCGCAACGAGCGCAACCCUUAAGCUUAGUUGCCAUCAUUAAGUUGGGCACUCUAAGUUGACUGCCGGUGACAAACCGGAGGAAGGUGGGGAUGACGUCAAAUCAUCAUGCCCCUUAUGAUUUGGGCUACACACGUGCUACAAUGGACAAUACAAAGGGCAGCGAAACCGCGAGGUCAAGCAAAUCCCAUAAAGUUGUUCUCAGUUCGGAUUGUAGUCUGCAACUCGACUACAUGAAGCUGGAAUCGCUAGUAAUCGUAGAUCAGCAUGCUACGGUGAAUACGUUCCCGGGUCU
rnacentral:rRNA from 1 species